CUGGCGGCGUGCUUAACACAUGCAAGUCGAACGAAGCUAAGGGAGCUUGCUCCCAAAGCUUAGUGGCGGACGGGUGGAGUAAGGCGUGGGUAACCUGCCCUAUAGAGGGGGAUAACGUUCGGAAACGAACGCUAAUACCGCAUAAACCAUAAGGAGCUGCAUGGCUCUGAUGGCAAAGAUUUAUCGCUAUAGGAUGGACCUGCGUUGGAUUAGCUAGUUGGUGAGAUAACAGCUCACCAAGGCGACGAUCCAUAGCCGGCCUGAGAGGGUGAACGGCCACAUUGGGACUGAGACACGGCCCAAACUCCUACGGGAGGCAGCAGUGGGGAAUAUUGCACAAUGGGCGCAAGCCUGAUGCAGCGACGCCGCGUGAAGGAAGAAGGUCUUCGGAUUGUAAACUUCUAUCAGCAGGGAAGAAUAAAUGACGGUACCUGACUAAGAAGCCCCGGCUAACUACGUGCCAGCCGCCGC
rnacentral:rRNA from 1 species